AGGCCCCACCGGGGACUUCUCAUCGACCCAGUAGCUGAACGAGUCAUGGGAGCCUGCGUGGAGAGCAACAAAGGUGGGGAACCAGGGAAUGCAACAAACCUCAGGGAUGAUCAUACUUUUGGCAAAUAGUUCAGAAUGUUGGCAGAUGCCCAAAAGGAAGAGGAUCUGGCGUGGACAUAUGCUUGAAACCACUGUCGUCACCUCAGUCAGUGAACUAAAAUGAAAAAUAAAAACACUGCAAGUACUUUUUUAAUAACAGCAGCCUCAUUUGCACUUCUUACAUAAGCAAGAACAUUCUUACAGAUAGCAUGGGGGAUUGGACAUUAUUGUCAUCAUUCUACUGAGGCUCAGAGGUCUUCAGCAACUUGGUAAAGAGAACCAGACAAGCGAUUCUGGUCUUUUGACCAGAACCCAUAUUCUCCAUGGAAACUGCCUCCUAAUAGAAGAAGUGUUUCUCUUAUGUGGGUUAAAAUACUCCUCCAGAGACAAAAUCUUUAAAUUCUGGGACUAACGACUGAAGGUUUUCAAAUAAUCCCUUUGCCAACCUUACCCCCGCCUUCACCCACACAGUCACUGUGCACUGUGAGGAUAGGGCUGAGAUGGGAAGAAAGGCUCUACGGAAUCCUUGUAUUGGUUGAUACUGGGUGGUUAAUGUCAGAAUCCCUUACAUUUGAAUCAGUGAAC